rnacentral:tRNA from 1 species
GGGUGUAUAGCUCAGUUGGUAGAGCAUUGGGCUUUUAACCUAAUGGUCGCAGGGUUCAAGUCCUACUAUACCCA